rnacentral:rRNA from 1 species
ACUCAAAUGAAUUGACGGGGGCCCGCACAAGCAGUGGAGCAUGUGGUUUAAUUCGAAGCAACGCGAAGAACCUUACCAGGGCUUGACAUCCCUCUGACCGGCGCAGAGAUGCGCCUUCCCUUCGGGGCAGAGGUGACAGGUGGUGCAUGGUUGUCGUCAGCUCGUGUCGUGAGAUGUUGGGUUAAGUCCCGCAACGAGCGCAACCCUUGACCUGUGUUACCAGCGCGUGAAGGCGGGGACUCACAGGUGACUGCCGGCGUAAGUCGGAGGAAGGUGGGGAUGACGUCAAAUCAUCAUGCCCCUUAUGUCCUGGGCUACACACGUGCUACAAUGGGCGGUACAACGGGACGCGAAGCCGCGAGGCGGAGCCAAUCCCUGAAAGCCGCUCCCAGUUCGGAUUGCAGGCUGCAACUCGCCUGCAUGAAGCCGGAAUUGCUAGUAAUCGCGGAUCAGCAUGCCGCGGUGAAUACGUUCCCGGGCCUUGUACACACCGCCCGU